AUUGAACGCUGGCGGCAUGCUUUACACAUGCAAGUCGAACAGUAACAGGUUAAGCUGACGAGUGGCGAACGGGUGAGUGGUGCAUCGGAACGUGCCCGAUCGUGGGGGAUAACGCAGCGAAAGCUGCGCUAAUACCGCAUACGAUCUGAGGAUGAAAGCGGGGGACCGUAAGGCCUCGCGCGAUCGGAGCGGCCGAUGUCAGAUUAGGUAGUUGGUGGGGUAAAGGCUCACCAAGCCGACGAUCUGUAGCUGGGCUGAGAGGACGACCAGCCACACUGGGACUGAGACACGGCCCAGACUCCUACGGGAGGCAGCAGUGGGGAAUUUUGGACAAUGGGCGUAAGCCUGAUCCAGCAAUGCCGCGUGCAGGAAGAAGGCCUUCGGGUUGUAAACUGCUUUUGUACGGAGCGAAAAGGCUCUCUCUAAUACAGGGGGCUCAUGACGGUACCGUAAGAAUAAGCACCGGCUAACUACGUGCCAGCCGCCGCAGUAA
rnacentral:rRNA from 1 species